rnacentral:rRNA from 1 species
CUACGGGAGGCAGCAGUGAGGAAUAUUGCGCAAUGGGCGAAAGCCUGACGCAGUAACGCCGCGUGAGGGAUGAAGGCCUUCGGGUCGUAAACCUCUUUUCGGAGGGACGAGUGAGGACGGUACCUCUGGAAUAAGUCUCGGCUAACUACGUGCCAGCAGCCGCGGUAAAACGUAGGAGGCGAGCGUUAUCCGGAUUCACUGGGCGUAAAGCGCGUGUAGGCGGCUCGUCAAGUCGGUUGUGAAAGCCCCUGGCUCAACUGGGGGAGGUCAGCCGAGACUGAUGGGCUGGAGGGUCAGAGAGGAAGGUGGAAUUCCCGGUGUAGCGGUGGAAUGCGUAGAGAUCGGGAGGAACACCAGUGGCGAAGGCGGCCUUCUGGCUGACCACUGACGCUGAGACGCGAAAGCGUGGGUAGCAAACGGGAUUAGAAACCCCGGUAGUCCC